GAUAGGAUGGCUGAGUUUUUAAGCGGUGGAUUGUAGCCCCAUAGACAGAGGUUUAAAUCCUCUUCCCAUCA
rnacentral:tRNA from 1 species